rnacentral:rRNA from 1 species
GUAGGUGGCAAGCGUUGUCCGGAAUUAUUGGGCGUAAAGCGCGCGCAGGCGGUUCUUUAAGUCUGAUGUGAAAGCCCACGGCUCAACCGUGGAGGGUCAUUGGAAACUGGAGAACUUGAGUACAGAAGAGGAAAGCGGAAUUCCACGUGUAGCGGUGAAAUGCGUAGAGAUGUAGAGGAACACCAGUGGCGAAGGCGGCUUUCUGGUCUGUAACUGACGCUGAGGCGCGAAAGCGUGGGGAGCAAACAGGAUUAGAUACCCUGGUAGUCCACGCCGUAAACGAUGAGUGCUAAGUGUUAGGGGGUUUUCCGCCCCCCUUAGUGCUGCAGCUAACGCAUUAAGCACUCCGCCUGGGAGUACGGCCGCAAGGCUG